rnacentral:rRNA from 1 species
GACGAACGCUGGCGGCGUGCUUAACACAUGUAAGUCGAACGGUAAGGCCCUUCGGGGUACACGAGUGGCGAACGGGUGAGUAACACGUGGGUGAUCUGCCCUGCACUUCGGGAUAAGCCUGGGAAACUGGGUCUAAUACCGGAUAGGACCACUGCCUGCAUGGGUGGUGGUGGAAAGCUUUUGCGGUGUGGGAUGGGCCCGCGGCCUAUCAGCUUGUUGGUGGGGUGAUGGCCUACCAAGGCGACGACGGGUAGCCGGCCUGGGAGGGUGACCGGCCACACUGGGACUGAGAUACGGCCCAGACUCCUACGGGAGGCAGCAGUGGGGAAUAUUGCCAAAUGGGCGCAAGCCUGAUGCAGCGACGCCGCGUGAGGGAUGACGGCCUUCGGGUUGUAAACCUCUUUCAGCACCGACGAAGCGCAAGUGACGGUAGGUGCAGAAGAAGGACCGGCCAACUACGUGCCAGCCGCCGCCGUGA